GAUGAACGCUGGCGGCGUGCUUAACACAUGCCAGUCGAACGGUGAAGCUCCAGCUUGCUGGAGUGGAUCAGUGGCGAACGGGUGAGUAACACGUGAGCAACCUGCCCCUGACUCUGGGAUAACAGCCGGAAACGGCUGCUAAUACCGGAUAUGCACCAUGAACGCAUGUUCUGUGGUGGGAAAGAUUUUUCGGUUGGGGAUGGGCUCGCGGCCUAUCAGCUUGUUGGUGAGGUAAUGGCUCACCAAGGCGUCGACGGGUAGCCGGCCUGAGAGGGUGACCGGCCACACUGGGACUGAGACACGGCCCAGACUCCUACGGGAGGCAGCAGUGGGGAAUAUUGCACAAUGGGCGAAAGCCUGAUGCAGCAACGCCGCGUGAGGGAUGACGGCCUUCGGGUUGUAAACCUCUUUUAGCAGGGAAGAAGCGAGAGUGACGGUACCUGCAGAAAAAGCGCCGGCUAACUACGUG
rnacentral:rRNA from 1 species